rnacentral:tRNA from 1 species
UUAACUAAAUCCAAGUGUGAGGAUAAUCACUGUUAAUGAUUCCAUUGAAAUUAAUUUCUAGUUGAA